rnacentral:rRNA from 1 species
CCCUAUUAUUUUCAGUGUAAAAUUUAUAAAAGCUUGAGUAGUAAUAGUUUAUGAUCUUUAAACUCAAAGAAUUUGGCGGUAUUAUAAUCUUUUUAGAGGAAUCUGUCAUGUAAUCGAUAGUCCACGAUGAACCUUACUUAUAUUAUAUUUCUUGUAUACCGCUGUUUGAUGAAAAUACUUCUAGGUUAGGUGAAAUUUUCUUGAAAAAUAAGUAGUUAAGAUUUCAAGUCAAGGUGCAGUAAUUUAUAAGUUGAAUGAUGGAUUACAAUAAAGUUUAUUUAAUAACGAAUUAUUACUUAAAUGGUAAUAUGAAGGUGGAUUUAAUUGUAAUUUUAUAAAGAUUAUUAAAAUGAAUUUUAGGCUCUAUAAUAUGUACACAUCGC